UACGUAGGCAGCAAGCGUUGUUCGGAAUUACUGGGCGUAAAGAGUGCGUAGGCGGUUGGCUAAGUUUGGUGUGAAAUCCCCGGGCUUAACCUGGGAAUGGCGAUGGAGACUGCACGGCUAGAGUGCGUCAGAGGGGGGUAGAAUUCCACGUGUAGCAGUGAAAUGCGUAGAGAUGUGGAGGAAUACCGAUGGCGAAGGCAGCCCCCUGGGAUGACACUGACGCUCAUGCACGAAAGCGUGGGGAGCAAACAGG
rnacentral:rRNA from 1 species